UACGUAGGGUGCAAGCGUUGUCCGGAUUUAUUGGGCGUAAAGAGCUCGUAGGCGGCUUGUUGCGUCAGCUGUGAAAACCCGACAGCUCAACUGUGGGCUUGCAGCUGAUACGGGCAGGCUUGAGUUCGGUGAGGGGAGACUGGAAUUCCUGGUGUAGCAGUGAAAUGCGUAGAUAUCAGGAGGAAUACCGAUGGCGAAGGCAGGUCUCUGGGCUGACACUGACGCUCGAUGCACGAAAGCGUGGGGAGCAAACAGG
rnacentral:rRNA from 1 species